ACCUGAAAAUAACAAAGGAAAGAAGAUAAAAUUAUGAAACCUGAAAAAAGGCUAUUUCCAAUAUAUAUCCCCCUACUUCAUCAACUUUCAAUCUAGGAUAAGAAGUAGAGUUCAUCAUUCUUCAGCUUUAUAUAAAAAUAACAGAAAAAGUUUCACGAUUCAUUUGAUAGCUACAAGUGCCUUUCAUUUCUCAACAUUUAUAAGUUCAUAUAAAUAUUAUUUAGGAUAAUCACAGGGUAAUAAACAAUUUUGUAACAAGCAAACUUUCAUUCCGAGUCUAAUUUUUAAAACCACAGUUGGCAAUUAUUUUUGCAAAUAUUUUAAAAAGAAAAUGAAAUCACAUCUUAGAGAUAGAUCAAAGGGCAGUGCCAGAAAUUUAUUCCAGGACCAACUGUACUUAACUAUGUCAUAAUUUUUAGUGCCAUACACUAAACUUUAUGGUGAGGCACCGAAUCAUUAGAGCCAUAGAGAUAAGAUAUGGACCAAGGACAAAGCACUUAGUUGUGUGUCAAAAUUUUAACUAGAACAGAGUUCAGAACAGUUUUUGUCUUUCAUUCUUUGAUUAGUAUGAUAACACAGUUCUUGAAUCUGCACAGGCCCCCCUUUACCCCUCCUUGUAAGACUCAGAAUGAACUGGCAGAUAAAAGAUAAGAAGCACAGAGCUAUUCAUUGAGGCCUUUGCUUCCUGAGCCUGGACCCAAGUGUAAACAUUUAGAAGUUGAUUUUAUUAGUUACUUUAAAUUUAAUUUUUCAUUCACCUGUAUUAUUUGUACAUAUUUAUGAAGCACAAUAUGAUGCUUUAGUUCAUGUAUAUAUUGAGUAAAAACCAAAGAGUAAAUAGAUAGCCAUUAUCUUAAAAUUUUAUAAUGUUUUCAUGACUGCAUAUUCACAUUAUAGAAUAAAGACUUUCAUAUUGCUAUGUUGGUAUAUACAGGUAAUACAUUUUGAUGGUGUUCACUGACUGCCCACCUCUUUUUUCCCUCCCUCCUCUGAUGGUUCUCCUUCUUCAUCUAUAAAAUUCUACCUUCUGUAUGAUGAGCAUAGUCAAACUCUUCUAUUUUGAAAUAUACACUGCAAUAGUAAUUAUACUGAAUGGCAUAAAACAUCAAAAUUUAUUCCUUUUAUCUCACUAUAACUUUGUACCUGUUGAGAAAGCUCUCUUCUCCCUAUUCCACUAUUCUUCUCUGUCCCUCAUUAUCACUAUUUUGUUCUCAGUCUCUAUAAUGUUAACUUUUUUAGAUUUAUCUCCCAUAAAUGAGGGAGAUCAUGUGGUAUUUGUAACUCGGUGCCUGACUUAUUCCAUCUAACAUCAUGAAUCCAAGUCAUCCAUGUUGUCACAACUAACCACAUUUUAUACUCUAAAUGACCAAAUAAGGAGGACCCAAAAUGGCUGAAUAGAAGAGGAGUCACACUGAAGAGACUCAGAGAGCAACUAAAAAUCCAGAACGCUGUGUCUGUGGCUUCCCAGAGACUCAAGUGUAGCAGCUCUGACAGUGACACUGAUGAUGCUGAGACCUCCUGUGGCUUUGGUCAGGGACACACAAUAAACUGAACAGAGAUGCUGUGGAUGAAGAAUUCAGGAAACACUAAUAAACACUGCAUGACAUGGAAAGGCCAAAAGUGAAGAUAUUGAACUUGCACUGAUUGAAUGAAAUCAACAAGAAAAUGUAGAAUUCUUGCCACUGUCCUGUUGGGUUUGUUUUGUAAUGAGACGAGCUAAAAUUAACCACAAGAAAUUGAGCUUGAAGGCAAGUGCUUGUGAAACACAAGUCUAGAAUUUCAGAAGCAGCACUGUGUGAACCAAUGUGCUCAACCUCUGUGAACAAUCUGUGACAUUCUGUGAGCACUGCAUGACAUUUUGAAGCAGACAAUUUGCCUAAGGCCUGCUGACAGUGAGAUGUGUAAGCAAAAUAGGCCGUGGAAAUAACCACUGUUGUAAACUGUUGGGCACAGGUGCUCAACAUACUAUACCCUGCCCGGGACUAAGAACCACGUCAGCUUCCGCAAUGCCCUAUGUCCCUCUCUUAAUUAGCCUCCCCAUGCACACUCCGUGCUCGCCCUGUGCUGACUCCGUGGUGAUAUGUGAUUGGUCACGGCCGAAUAUAUAAGCCAGAGAGUGCGGUAAUAAAGCGGCAGUUCCUGUUACCAACAA